rnacentral:lncRNA from 1 species
AUGUCUCGUUAUCAUGUGGAUGGUUUUUUUAAAUCUUUUAUCUUUAUUAUGUUUAGCGUACUCAUGAAUUACAAUGUUCAACUGACAGCUGUAAAUGGCAUCGUAUCAGAAGUCAUUCAAAUAGCAUAUAGGUAUGCAACAACAGUGACUAAAGAGUAAACUUUAUAUUAUUUUAUAAUUUUGAUGAAUUAUUUUAUUUUUAAUCGAUCAGGAUCGAUAGUACUAUGAUUUAUGAAAUUGAGGUAAGCUGUAACGGCUUUUACAGAAUAUUUGAGUGGUCCAGAUUCGAGUGACGGUUUCACUGGAACGAGCGCUCGACUAGACGUAAUUCAUGUUUUGUGUGAGUGCCCCGACAGUUGUUGUUAAUUGAGUACACGAUUAAUACGUACACAUUUUCUUGGACGUGAAAUGAAAAAAAAAGAGGAAGUGAAUAACACACGACCAUAAUUUACAAUGAUUUUGAGCCCAGCGACAAGUUUGAGUUCACAGGUUAUACGGAUGGAUUUAUGGAGUUGGACUAAUGUGUAUACUUUAUGUCUGUAUAUAAAAGUAUGGAUAAUUAAUUGUUUGCAUUAUAUACAUAUAUAUACACAUUUUAAUAUUAUUUC